rnacentral:misc_RNA from 1 species
GAUGAAGAACGCAGCGAAAUGCGAUAAGUAAUGUGAAUUGCAGAAUCCAGUGAAUCAUCGAAUCUUUGAACGCACAUUGCGCCCGCCAGCAUUCUGGCGGGCAUGCCUGUUCGAGCGUCAUUUCAACCCUCGACCUCCCCUUGGGGAGGUCGGCGUUGGGGACCGGCAGCACACCGCCGGCCCUGAAAUGGAGUGGCGGCCCGUCCGCGGCGACCUCUGCGUAGUAAUACAGCUCGCACCGGAACCCCGACGCGGCCACGCCGUAAAACACCCAACUUCUGAACGUUGACCUCGAAUCAGGUAGGACUGCCCGCUGAACUUAAGCAUAUCAAUAAGCGGAGGA